CGUGUGCGCCGCGCCGGCGACGGACGUCGUCACAGACUUUUUUCUUUUCGAUAUAUUUUAAUAAACAAACGCUUUUAUAUUUUUAUUUAUCAAUAAAAGUGACAUUCAAAGAUUCGAGUGACAGUGGAUAAUUGGAUGUUGGUUAAGAAAUUUUAGUGUAAUUAUGUUUAUUAAAAUAAUUUGACAAGUGCGUAUGUGUUUUGUGUUGUAUUUAUUAUUAUGCAAAUGGAUUGCUGGCACAAUAUAGUUUGACACCAGAUGACCUGACAACUUAUCAGUCAUAUGCAGCUGUAAACUUUAAAUAAGAUAAAAAGGCAAGAACGUGAAGUCAACAAGAAAAUUCUAUAAUCAAUAAUGUGCGAAAAAAUCGAUUGCAACAAUAUAAUGACGAUGAAAA